UCCAGACUCCUACGGGAGGCAGCAGUGGGGGAUAUUGCACAAUGGGGGGAACCCUGAUGCAGCGACGCCGCGUGGGUGAAGAAGCGCCUCGGCGCGUAAAGCCCUGUCAGCAGGGAAGAAAAUGACGGUACCUGAAGAAGAAGCCCCGGCUAACUACGUGCCAGCAGCCGCGGUAAUACGGAGGAUGCGAGCGUUAUCCGGAUUUAUUGGGUUUAAAGGGUGCGUAGGCGGACGCUUAAGUCAGCGGUAAAAUUGCGGGGCUCAACCUCGUCGAGCCGUUGAAACUGGGUGCCUUGAGUGGGCGAGAAGUACGCGGAAUGCGUGGUGUAGCGGUGAAAUGCAUAGAUAUCACGCAGAACUCCGAUUGCGAAGGCAGCGUACCGGCGCCCAACUGACGCUGAAGCACGAAGGCGUGGGUAUCGAACAGGAUUAGAUACCCCAGUACU
rnacentral:rRNA from 1 species